UUGUGGAUCGACAUUGGAGCAAUUCUAGCAAAUGUCCUUGUUUAUUUCUUUUUCUCCUUCCUCUCGUGUCACAGCUAUUGUAACUGAUCUAGUGAAACGCCAUGAGCCUUAUUCUUUCUGUCCUCCAAAACAUUCCACACUGGAUUUUCACCUUUGAUUAUAAUCUAGGAGUGAAGAAAACUCGGAGUUAUUUUAUGGUUGAUUCUAGGAAGAUUCGUCUUGAACAUGUUUUUCUGUUGCGUUUUUACCUUCUACGUAUUCGCCUUGUACUGUUUUGCCUCGCAUUAUUUUCCCCUUGCGACUUCUUUGUCUUGGAUAAUAAUAGAGGGAAUUCUACUUCUUUUUAGUUAUGUAUUUGUUAGUUGAAUUUUUACCGUUUUAUUCCAGCUUUCAGAAAUUAAAAACAAAAAGUACGUAGGUUUUAAAGCAUUGGGAAGGAAUCACGGAAUGCUACAGCUACGUCAGUUGGAAAGAAUCGUUAGCAAUCAUGUGUAGUCCAUUUCUUCAUCAAAAUGCCACGAAAAGAUAUUGAAAUCUUAACGUACAUCAAGAUAGUCUUAAACCAAUUAUUGCGACCUUUUAAUAAUAACGAAAUAACUUCGAAACAAAGAAUAUAUUAUCGGAGUAUGAGGAGAGGAAUGUCGAAUUAAUCGAUCAUAAUUGCUCGAAUAAAUUUCCACCUAGGAUUAGAGAAUCAUUACUACUGUAUAUGUCUAUUUAUGUUUGUUUAUAUUAAUUUUCUGUUACAGGAGUUAUUGGUUUUGAUAACAUAGAAAUUCCUUUUCAUGAUACCAAUUAUAUUCAUCCUGUAGUUAUUCAUAGAAGAUAUAAGAAAAAGUUCUAGUGAUUUACUUAAUUACAUAUGAUCUCCUGCGGCCUCAUCCCUCGGUCCACGGAUAUCCUCCUACACAUAAUAUGGCCUUCCAUUUACUUCCUUGAUCCUCAAAGCGCUAACUAUCCGAAUAUCUCGAAAAAGUCAAGAUCUCUCACCUCCUAAUCCAAUAAUAUAUUCUUCGCUUUAAGAACUUAUUUCCUUAUUAUUAAAAGGUUGCAAUAAUUGAAUUACAACUAUCUAUUGUCAUUGUAUCCAAUUUCAAAAAAGAAAGAGAAUAAUUAACGUGCUGGAAAACUUA
rnacentral:lncRNA from 1 species